AGAUGGGUCACCCUGACUUCAUUUUCAGACUUCGUGGAACCACGAUGAAGUCUGGAUAAGUAAGAGCACUGAGGGCUUUCCUGAUCUCUUCCCAGACUUCCCCAUGGCAGACUAUCCAGUACUUUGGAGUGUAGGCUCACCCAGGGCCAGCAACAUGGACCAAGUUCUACAAACACCAGAACAUAACAGAGCUUUGUGGGAAGUGGACAUAUCGAGUUUUAUACCAUGGGAAGGACAGAAAAUCUGGCGUGAUGAAUCAACAACACAAAAUGAAGUCACAGAUGUGCCCGAGUCAGUGGAUAUGUGGCUGGACUGACAGAACCAGGACUUCCUUUCUUCUUCUUACUUUAUGAAUUAAUUUGCCUUCAUGUCAGCUCACUUGUAACUAAACUGGCUUCUUUUCAUCCUAUUUUUUUAAUGAUGCACUCUGCAGCACUUUGUAUAGCCUGAGGUACUCAAAUGGCAUGUAAGUGGAUAUUGCCCUGCAAGCUGCACUCUGCCAUACAAUUGCUAUCGUCUCUUAAGUCUUAAAAGCCUGGGCAUGAUGUGAAUUACAGGCUUUUCUUCUCCAUGUGGGGCUCACAGCUUAUAGUCCUAAAUUACAUUUUGUCAGCCUGUUGUCAAAGCAAGAUAGAAGACCAUUAAAAAUAAGCUGCAGUUAUGUAAGUGUUCAUGAGUGUCUAAAUAUUAAUGUCAGGAUUUUGCAUAAUGGCAAUGCUCUAAAUAAUCCUUUUUAGCCUUUGUAGUUUAAUCUUUGUUCAUAUUUUAUCCAUUAGUUACCUCUAAAUAGCAUGGUUCUUUUGAUAAGUAAGAGGCUGUGAAUAACAUUUACUGAAAUUUCAACAUUCUUGUCUUUCACUGCCACAAUCGGAAAUGACUCUGUUCCUGGGGCCGCUCGCGCUUUCGUAUUUUAAUUGCAAAUGAACUAUACAACCUGCAGCAGUUUAAACAAAACCCAAACACAAACCAAAAUAAAUUUUUAAAAAAGCAUA